UGCCAGCAGCCGCGGUAAUACUGAAGGCCCGAGCGUUAAUCGGAAUCACUGGGCUUAAAGCGUACGCAGGCGGACUUGUAGGUAUUUUGUGAAAUCCCACGGCUUAACCGUGGAACUGCAGAGUAAACCACAAGUCUUGAGACAUGUAGGGGUCAGUGGAACGAUGUGUGGAGCGGUGAAAUGCGUAGAUAUACAUCGGAACGCCAAUGGCGAAGGCAGCUGACUGGGCAUGUUCUGACGCUCAGGUACGAAAGCGUGGGUAGCGAACGGGAUUAGAUA
rnacentral:rRNA from 1 species